GUUGUUACUCAGGUGGCACCUUUAAGUCAGCAGGCCGAAUACUACUGCUCAGUUUGUGAGUGUGUAGUAAAAGAUUCUGCAAACUACUUGGAUCACAUCAAUGGGAAGAAACAUCAAAGAGCGUUAGGUAUGUCCAUGCGAGUAGAAAGGGCAACCCUUGAACAGGUACCCAGAGAAUUAUUUAAUGUGCAUUUCAAACACUUA